GCCGAGCUCUCUGAGUGGCCAACGACGUGCGUCGCGACGUAGGUCGCAUUGGUCGCUGUGUGGGUCGCUCGUCUGGCUGCUUUCAGUCGCUGUGGUCACUGGCUGGCUCGCUCAAAGUCUAUAUAAUCAGUUGAUUUGCAUGUUAUUAACUUUUUUUUUGCGUCAGUUGAAGUACCAGAAAGCCAUGCUCUCUGGCGAAAGCUACCUAAAGCUCUUUAGUGCUAAUAUUGUUUUAAUAUUUUUCUAUUUAAGUACAGUUUAAA